CAGACUAUAUUCCAAUUCCCAUGGGACUUGAUUCUUACACACAGCCUCUUUCAGCCAUGGAGUGAGAAAAGCAGUUUCCAGCGUCCUCCUCACAGUCUCAAAAUGUGUCCUCCUUCAGCGAGACCAGACCACAGAGAAGACCCGACAGAGCUCUGAGGUCGACGCUUUUAGUGUCCCACAGUGGGUUACUGCAGUCAGCCUUUUUUCCCAUAACAGGCCGGCUCUGGCUGUACCAUUUUCCUCUGGUUAGGCAGGCUGACAGCUCUGACAGCCAGGCGCCCAACCUUGCCUCGUGAAUGCGCAUGCGCUAGUCUCAGGGCACCAGACCUGAACUGUGAGCUCUGGCUGAUGUCUCAAUGAAUGCCACCACCAUUGCCUAGAGACAAGUCCCUGUGGCUUAGCGGAGAAGGAAACAUCUGCGGAGGUGGGUCGGCCACAGACUUUCGCUUGUACUGUUUGUGGGACCCUCAGCAUAAUCUCAUGAUGCUAGGAGAAUGCUGAUGUGAGCCAGCCUAAGGAAACCUCAAGCAGAGCCGCAGGAAUUCACUACGAAAUCUCUUAAGUGUCCAAAAGGAUCUGCAGAAUGCCUCAGGCCUACCUAGACUUUGCAGGGGUGAAGGUGCAGGUCUGCAUCCAAACCUCACCAGAUUAUAUCCUCACCCCAUCUUACCUUACUGCUGCUCACACUGUUUGUCCCAGAAUAAAAUCCCAAGACGAUGGCGGAGUGCCCCCUCAUGACACGAAGCACCUGCUCUACUGUGAACCAAAUUCAAGGGUACUGUCGCUCUGUAGCACAGGCUGCAGUGAAGUGGCACAAUCUUGUCUUACUGAAACCUCAGCCUCCUGGGUUCAAACAACAAUCUUACCU
rnacentral:lncRNA from 1 species